AUCCAGGAAAGUAGAGGUAGGGAGUUCCCUCUUGUUGGAAGGGGUCUGGGAAAGGUAGACUGAAGAAAACUACAGGGAUGAGCCUGUGGUGAGCCCUGGAAAAGAAGGUGAGGUACAGAGAGGCAGUCCUCAGGGGUCAGCAACCCAGCAUAGAGAAGUAAUUGGGAGGACCUAGGGAGAAGCCAGAGGCGAAAAUUGGAGACAAGGCUGUGUUAAGCACAAGCUGCAGGAAGGUGUCCCAGGGAAACCACAGUAUAUAUGAAGGAACAGACCUAGCUGCUUAACACAUGGUCCCUGGGUGAGAACUCGGAGCAAAGGAUGGGCCUGGUUUCCCCUUCCAGCCCUGAAGAAGGGAUGUACAAGCUUGAUGUAAAGACAACUGAGCCCAUGGUGUGACUGAAAACUGAGCCUAGAGGAUGGGCCAAGGAAUAGCCCAAGAGAGUGCAGAAGGAUCUUUUGUGCUGCGGUUUUUAUUUUUAACUUGUACUUUAUAUAGCCUAAAAGGGGUCUGGACUAGAUGUGACUUAGCUGAAAGGCUAAGCCAUGGGCAAAAAAAGGCCUUUGCAGGGCCAAAGAAGCAAGGGCCAGCAAGUGCUAGAAAGAACUUCUGCAAGCCAUGCUGCAACACCAGAGGGUUCUGCAGUGGUAGGUGCAACAUCUUGCAAUGACUCGAGACUCCAGGUUUUCAUCUAAAAAAGUUUCCAGUAUUAGGCUCUGGAAAGAGGCUACUGCGGACUGCUGUUUUCUCCUCCCAAGUCCGUUUCCACCAAGCUCUAGGUUGCAUCCUCUUUGUCAGCUGCCACAACACUUCAGAGAAGGUGCUGUAGACAAGACAUCUCUUCUGAAUUCCCUCAGUAACUGGCAAAGUGAGCCUUGAGGCCCCAUAGCACCAGUACGUGUCAAGAAAGCAGAUAAGCACUUUGAACAAGUAAUCAGAUUACUCAUCUGUGAGUGGGUGUCAACCCCACGCAGGUGAACAAAGGGUUAACAAGUGUCUGAGAGAUGAGUCCUAUCUUGGUAUACCUGGAGGGUGUGUUGGGCAUGAUAUCAGACCUAGCUGGGGAGGAGCUGGGCCUUUUUCAUAAAAGAAGGAAAUGGAAAGCUAAAUGGGAGGCCCAGGACAGAGAAGCCCAGGAGAGAGGAGGUAGGAAGUUCCCUCUCUCUGGGAAGGACCAAGGAAAGGCAGACUGAAGAAGGCCACGGACAUCCUGAAUCUCUGUGGUGGAUAUUGAAAAGGGAGCAAGGCGCAGAGAGGCAGUCCUGAGGGGUUGGUGUUCGAGCAAAGAAAGAAGAAGCUAGGGAGAAGCCAGAAGCCUGGGAAUCGGAGGAGAGGCUGCUAUUUGCACAGUUGUGUAGGGAAGCAGGAAAGGUGCUCAGAGGUAGGAAGUGGCCCAGGAAAUAGCAACAUGUCUGAAGGAGCAGAGCUAGCUGCUCAAUACAGGGUCCCUGGGCCAGAGCCUGGAGCAGAGGGUGCGCCUGGGUUCCCCUACCAGCCCUGAGGAAGGGAUGAACAAGCCUGAUGUGGGGACUAUUAAGCCGAGGGUGGGGUGGAAGACUGAGCCUAAAGGGCAGGCCGAGUACUAGCUCAUGAAAGGGCAGAAGAAGCUCUUGUGUGGGGAAGAUUUUUGGUCCUUUAGUUGUACUACUUUUACUCCAGAAGGGGUGGAACUAAAACAUGACGUGGCCAGAGAGCUGAGCCACGCAAAGAGAGACUACCACAGGACCAGAGUGACUGUUGGGAGGAGGUGCUAGAGCAGAAAGAGCCACUAUGCUCAGCUAUGAGGGGGGAGUGCCAGCAGAGUUCACUCUUCAACCUUAUCCAAAGUGAUACACAUAUAAUGGGUCAGAGUCAUCCCUGGUUUUACCUCCGCUCCUGCAGGAUUCCUAGGGGUGGCUAGGCCAGCGGGGUUGCAGAAGCUGUGAUGGUGGAAUGCAGCUACAACCUCCCCUCUGCAAAGCAAGAAAAAUGGAAAGCCAGAGAAGGGGUGUAGACCAGAAAAGAUAGGUAGAUAGGAUUUAUUUUCUAUCUAUGGCAGUCAUUAUUUUGUGGAUUCUUCUGACUGGAUUUCAUACUUAUAAAAAAUGUUCUCCUCAAUGGGGAGGAAACCAUUCAUAUUUUUCUGUGUACUGAAGUCAGUCUUAAAUGCUGGGUCAGAUCUCCAGCUGGUGUAACCUCCAUAGCCCUAUUGAAAUCAGUGACGAGGAACUGAUUUGUACCAGCUGAGAAACUGCAUUGAGUGAAAUGAAGCUAUGGUGAUUAACACCAGCUGAGAUUCUGACCUACUCUCAUUAGGAUUUUGCUUGUAUUGGUCAGAUCAGAUUCGCUAAUCUAUACUCUGUUGGUAUUUCUUCUAAUGGCUGAAUAUUGCCCUUUAUCACCAGUGGCAGUUCAGCAUGUGAAUUCAGAGUAGUAUAUUGCCUUUGGAUUUGAAUUAUGUUUAUUUCCCACUAGUCCAUCAACACCUCCUCUCACUAAUGAGCUAUUACAAAUCUGUAUUUAGAAGAUCACUAAUCUUUCAAGAUGCUAAUGUGUAACUCAUCUAGUUGUAAUGCCCCAGUGACAAAAGAGGGAAUUUCACAGUAGAGAACAUUUUUAAAAAGAAGAAAUGUAUGUGCAAAGAGAAAUAUGGUUGGUGAGGAUAUCUGGGUUCUCUUGUUGUUUCAGGUAUUUAUUUUGGAAUAAAAACCUGCACCCAAACCUAACUUUUCCUAGUGACGUCUGUCUGUCAACAUGGACAUGAUUGUGAUCUUAAAAAUCAGCAUCACAGUGUGGUCAAACAGGAGGAGAGAAGCAAAUAGUAUAGUUGUGAACCCAUUGCUACACCCCUUGUGGUAGCAGAUUACUUCUCGUGGCUGGCCAAUGUAAUUGA